UACAGAGGUCUCAAGCGUUGUUCGGAUUCAUUGGGCGUAAAGGGUGCGUAGGCGGCGCGGUAAGUCGGGUGUGAAAUUUCGAGGCUUAACUUCGAAACUGCAUUCGAUACUGCCGUGCUCGAGGACUGGAGAGGAGACUGGAAUUUACGGUGUAGCUGGUGAAAUGCGUAGAUAUCGUAAGGAAGACCAGUGGCGAAGGCGGGUCUCGUGGACAGUUCUGACGCUGAGGCACGAAGGCCAGGGGGAGCAAAACGGG
rnacentral:rRNA from 1 species